UACGUAGGGUGCGGGCGUUGUCCGGAAUUACUGGGCGUAAAGAGCUCGUAGGUGGUUUGUCGCGUUGUUCGUGAAAACCGGGGGCUUAACCCUCGGCGUGCGGGCGAUACGGGCAGACUGGAGUACUGCAGGGGAGACUGGAAUUCCUGGUGUAGCGGUGGAAUGCGCAGAUAUCAGGAGGAACACCGGUGGCGAAGGCGGGUCUCUGGGCAGUAACUGACGCUGAGGAGCGAAAGCGUGGGGAGCGAACAGG
rnacentral:rRNA from 1 species